rnacentral:rRNA from 1 species
GAAAGUAAGCAAGGGCAGACGGUGGAUGCCUUGGCUCUCGGAGGCGAUGAAGGACGUGAUAAGCUGCGAUAAGCUUGGGGUAGGUGCAAAUAACCUUUGAUCCCAAGAUUUCCGAAUGGGGCAACCCGGCUGGUAGAAGGCCAGUCAUUCCGUAAGGAAGGCGAACGUGGGGAACUGAAACAUCUAAGUACCCAUAGGAGAAGAAAACAAAAGUGAUUCCGCAAGUAGUGGCGAGCGAACGCGGAACAGCCCAAACCGAUGAUGUUUAGGCAUUGUCGGGGUAGUAGGACCACGUUGUGGCAAGAGAUUAAGGAAGUAGAACGUUUUGGAACAAACGGCCGUAGACGGUGAAAGCCCAGUAUACGACUCUUUAACGAAGCCUAGUGGAAUCCUGAGUAGCGCGGAGCACGAGAAAUUCUGUGUGAAUCAGCGGGGCCCAUCCCGUAAGGCUAAAUACUCCCGAGAGACCGAUAGCGAACCAGUACUGUGAAGGAAAGGUGAAAAGCACCUCGAACAGAGGAGUGAAAUAGUCCCUGAAACCGUCUGCCUACAAGCGGUCGGAGCAACGUAAGUUGUGACGGCGUGCCUUUUGCAUAAUGAACCUACGAGUUACUUUCUCCGGCAAGGUUAAGGGCUUCAGGCCCGGAGCCGAAGCGAAAGCGAGUCUUAAUAGGGCGUGAUAGUCGGAGUGAGUAGACGCGAAACCAAGUGAUCUACCCUUGGUCAGGAUGAAGGUUGGGUAACACCAACUGGAGGUCCGAAUGGGUAUACGUUGAAAAGUGUUCCAAUGAACUGAGGGUAGGGGUGAAAGGCUAAUCAAACUUGGAGAUAGCUCGUACUCCCCGAAAUGCAUUUAGGUGCAGCCUUUAUUUAGUAUAGCAAGAGGUAGAGCGACUGAUUGGAUGCGAGGGCUUCACCGCCUAUCAAGUCCAGAUAAACUCCGAAUGCGUGCUAUAUAUUGAUAAGGAGUGAGGGCGCGGGUGCUAAGGUCCGCGUCCGAGAGGAGAAGAAUCCAGACCAUCAGCUAAGGUCCCCAAAUAACAGUUAAGUUGAACUAACGAAGUCGGACUGCAGAGACAGCUAGGAUGUUGGCUUGGAAGCAGCCAUUCAUUUAAAGAGUGCGUAACAGCUCACUAGUCGAGGAGUCCGGCGUGGAUAAUACUCGGGCAUAAACUGUUUACCGAAGCUAUGGAUGUAGAAAUACAUGGUAGGGGAGCAUUCCAACGGCGUCGAAGGUGAAGGAUGACCUUUGCUGGAGCUUUUGGAAACGCAAAUGUAGGUAUAAGUAACGAUAAAGGAGGUGAGAAACCUCCUCGCCGAAAGACUAAGGUUUCCUGAUCAACGUUAAUCGGAUCAGGGUAAGUCGGGACCUAAGGUUAAGCCGAACGGCGAUACCGAUGGAAGAAUGGUUUAAUAUUCCCAUACUACUUUAUGGAGCGAUGUGGAGACGGAGAAGUGAAAGUCCUGCCAUCUGACGGAAUAGGUGGUUGAAGAGUGUAGAUGUAGAUUCCUGUAGGCAAAUCCGCAGGGAGAGUCGACCUUGAUAGUAUGCCGCGUGCUUGCACAAGGCAAAAUGGACGUAAUCAGGCUCCCAAGAAAAUCCGCUAAGCAUAUUCAUAAAGUACCCGUACCGUAAACGGACACACGUAGUUGGGUUGAAAAUACUGAGGCGCUCGAGUGAUUCACGGUUAAGGAACUAGGCAAAUUGACCCUGUAACUUCGGGAUAAAGGGUCCCUACUGAGAGGUAGGGCGCAGAGAAUAGGUCCAGGCAACUGUUUAACAAAAACACAUGGCUGUGCGAAAUAGAAAUAUGAAGUAUACAGCCUGACACCUGCCCGGUGCUGGAAGGUUAAGAGGAGAGCUCAUCGCAAGAGAAGGCUUGAAUUGAAGCCCCAGUAAACGGCGGCCGUAACUAUAACGGUCCUAAGGUAGCGAAAUUCCUUGUCGGGUAAGUUCCGACCUGCACGAAUGGUGUAAUGAUCUGGAC